CACAGCAUCAGGUGGUCAGCAAAAGCAACAGAGAGAAGCGGUGCUGAGGUCAGCAUAAAGAUGUGUCACUGUGCAAUUAGCAUAUUUAAUUGCGGCAAUAUGAACUGCAAGUCAUUCAUUUGGUAACGGUGCAAGCUGCAGCGAUUCUCGUGUUUUCAAUCAGCAGGUCGCCACAUAAUAGCGCCGGACUUAACGGCAUGAGAACUGCGUUGUAACACUGCUUAUCUGGAACAGAAUGGCGACGAUGACGGACUCAAGGAGAGCAGCGCAUGUCUCAGUGACUAGUUUGAAAAAGAAGAAAAAUGCCUUGGACUGGCAAAGAGCGACGAUUGAUGGGACAAAGCUACACUGCAUAGUACUUGGGUGACGGAGCGAGUGCUAACGGAUUUUCAAUGAGGAAUUGGCAGCCCGGACCUAACUUCGUCAGAUUAUCUCUCGUUUUGGUCGAUGUACUCCAACAAAGCCAAGUGGGUCGAUAAAUGGAUUGUGUUCACGGGCAAAGCUUUUUUUCUUUGCGGUUUACAUAGUGGUUUGAAAGUUACAGUGCGAUGUUGUUCAUUGAAAUUGUUCGCUUGGCUUGCUCGCGUUCUACAUGGAGUUCCACGCCCUGGUGCAAUAUAGCAGGCAGAGUGUUUAUCGUAUAACAGCAGCUCAUUCUGGAGCUGUGAUAGUGCGCGAAUGUGGCUUGGCGCUGAUGUCGCCGCCUAGCGAACGGUUCGCUAAAUCGGAAAAAACUGCAAAUGAAACAGCCCUACGACGCUUUAAUCUUGCUCUUACAGGCGCAGGAGCUCUCUGAGUCAAUUUAAAACAACCACAUGAGUUCAGUACUUCAACGCAAGCUCCAACCCAAAGAAAAGCGAGCCAGGAACUCUAGAUUCAUUCAUAUUUCUAAAAUAUCUCAAGUCAAUCAAGUAAGAUACUAUCCUACAAUCUUCUUAGCUAAUAACGAUCUUACACGUUGUUUUCGAAUACAUAUUAUGUAAUCAUAUAUGAUACGCAACAAAUGUAAAUUUAAUUUUAGGGCUUAAAUCAUUUGCGCGAAGCUUGCGGCAACCGGUUUGCCACAGACGUACUUAAAGCGACCUGUCGCUUGACGCUUAAUACAAUGUCGCGUUACAAAUGUGUCAUAGUUUACGAAAAAGGAAUUUGAAACCAUAAACAGAAAAACCUAUAUGGGGCUUGUUUAAUCUUUUAA